rnacentral:rRNA from 1 species
UACGGAGGGUGCAAACGUUGCUCGGAAUCACUGGGCGUAAAGGGUGCGUAGGCGGGUCUUUAAGUCAGGGGUGAAAUCCUGGAGCUCAACUCCAGAACUGCCUUUGAUACUGAAGAUCUUGAGUUCGGGAGAGGUGAGUGGAACUGCGAGUGUAGAGGUGAAAUUCGUAGAUAUUCGCAAGAACACCAGUGGCGAAGGCGGCUCACUGGCCCGGUACUGACGCUGAGGUGCGAAAGCGUGGGGAGCAAACAGG